rnacentral:rRNA from 1 species
CACGUAGGGGGCAAGCGUUGUCCGGAUUUAUUGGGCGUAAAGAGCUCGUAGGCGGCUCAGUAAGUCGGGUGUGAAACCUCCAGGCUCAACCUGGAGACGCCACCCGAUACUGCUGUGGCUUGAGUCCGGUAGGGGAGCGUGGAAUUCCUGGUGUAACGGUGAAAUGCGCAGAUAUCAGGAGGAACACCAGCGGCGAAGGCGGCGCUCUGGGCCGGAACUGACGCUGAGGCGCGAAAGCGUGGGGAGCAAACAGG